rnacentral:rRNA from 1 species
GACAGAGGAUGCAAGCGUUAUCCGGAAUGAUUGGGCGUAAAGCGUCUGUAGGUGGCUUUUUAAGUCCGCCGUCAAAUCCCAGGGCUCAACCCUGGACAGGCGGUGGAAACUACCAAGCUGGAGUACGGUAGGGGCAGAGGGAAUUUCCGGUGGAGCGGUGAAAGUGCCUAGAGAUCGGAAAGAACACCAACGGCGAAAGACACUCGUGCUGGGCCGACACUGACACUGAGAGACGAAAGCUAGGGGAGCGAAUGGG